AUACGGAGGGAGCAAGCGUUGUUCGGAUUUACAGGGCGUAAAGCGCACGUAGGUGGCGCGACAAGUCGGGAGUGAAAUGCCACGGCCCAACCGUGGAGGUGCUUUCGAAACUGUCGUGCUAGAGGAUGAGAGGGGAAGGCGGAAUUCCAGGUGUAGCGGUGAAAUGCACAGAUAUCUGGAGGAACACCAGUGGCGAAGGCGGCCUUCUGGAUCAUACCUGACACUGAGGUGCGAAAGCGUGGGGAGCGAACAGGAUUAGAAACCCUUGUAGUCC
rnacentral:rRNA from 1 species